rfam:Stegodyphus mimosarum contig109726, whole genome shotgun sequence.
GCCUUUGUGGUGUAACGGUAGCAUACUCGGCGCGUAUUCGAAAGAUCCAGGUUCGAGUCCCAGCUAGGGCA